rnacentral:rRNA from 1 species
UGAGGAAUAUUGGUCAAUGGGCGGGAGCCUGAACCAGCCAAGCCGCGUGAGGGAUGAAGGCCCUAUGGGUCGUAAACCUCUUUUGUCAGGGAACAAAAGCGAGUAUGUAUACUAGUCUGAGUGUACCUGAAGAAAAGCAUCGGCUAACUCCGUGCCAGCAGCCGCGGUAAUACGGAGGAUGCGAGCGUUAUCCGGAUUUAUUGGGUUUAAAGGGUGCGUAGGCGGCGGUGCAAGUCAGCGGUAAAAGCCCGGGGCUCAACCCCGGCGAGCCGUUGAAACUGCAGUGCUAGAGAAGGCGAGAGGUACGCGGAAUGCGCAGUGUAGCGGUGAAAUGCUUAGAUAUUGCGCAGAACUCCGAUUGCGAAGGCAGCGUACUGGCGCCUGACUGAGCUGAGGCACGAAAGCGUGGGGAUCGAACAGGGAUUAGAUACC